UACGAGGACCCCAAGCGUUAUCCGGAAUUACUGGGCGUAAAGCGUGAGCAGCCGGUUUUGCUAGUCUCAUGUCAAAUCUCACUGCUCAACGGUGAGACAGCGUGGGAAACGGCGAUACUAGAGUGGGUAAGAGGUAGACGGAACGUGCAGUGUAGGGGUGAAAUCCAUUGAUACUGCACGGAACACCAAAAGCGAAAGCAGUCUACUAGUGCUCUACUGACGGUCAAUCACUAAAGCGUGGGGAUCAAAAAGG
rnacentral:rRNA from 1 species